CCUGGCUCAGGACGAACGCUGGCGGCGUGCCUAAUACAUGCAAGUCGAGCGAAUCGAUGGGAGCUUGCUCCCUGAGAUUAGCGGCGGACGGGUGAGUAACACGUGGGCAACCUGCCUAUAAGACUGGGAUAACUUCGGGAAACCGGAGCUAAUACCGGAUACGUUCUUUUCUCGCAUGAGAGAAGAUGGAAAGACGGUUUACGCUGUCACUUAUAGAUGGGCCCGCGGCGCAUUAGCUAGUUGGUGAGGUAAUGGCUCACCAAGGCGACGAUGCGUAGCCGACCUGAGAGGGUGAUCGGCCACACUGGGACUGAGACACGGCCCAGACUCCUACGGGAGGCAGCAGUAGGGAAUCUUCCGCAAUGGACGAAAGUCUGACGGAGCAACGCCGCGUGAACGAAGAAGGCCUUCGGGUCGUAAAGUUCUGUUGUUAGGGAAGAACAAGUACCAGAGUAACUGCUGGUACCUUGACGGUACCUAACCAGAAAGCCACGGCUAACUACGUGCCAGCAGCCGCGGUAAUACGUAGGUGGCAAGCGUUGUCCGGAAUUAUUGGGCGUAAAGCGCGCGCAGGUGGUUCCUUAAGUCUGAUGUGAAAGCCCACGGCUCAACCGUGGAGGGUCAUUGGAAACUGGGGAACUUGAGUGCAGAAGAGGAAAGUGGAAUUCCAAGUGUAGCGGUGAAAUGCGUAGAGAUUUGGAGGAACACCAGUGGCGAAGGCGACUUUC
rnacentral:rRNA from 2 species